CUUCCUGCCCCUGUGCACCCGACUCGUGGUCAUUACCCCCACUCCCCCCCCACACACAUACAGAGCUAUACCGUGUCAUGUGACCCAGGCGCUUUAGGAGGCCCCACCUCGAUGGAUUCUAGUGGGGGGGUCCCCCUACGUGCCUCCCUCCACCCCUAGCUGGGGGGCUAGGCUCCCUCCACCCCUAGCUGGGCUCCUGCCCAGCCCCUGUGGGUGGGGACAGGCUCAGCUCUCUAGGGUGGGCCCCUGCCCCUAGUCCUAGGGUCCCAGGCAGGGUGGGCGGUGCCCACUGUGGGAACCGGCCCUCAUGCCUUCAAACCUGCUUGGGCUCUGGGUUGGGUCGGAGCUGAGCAAGUUGGGGCCCGACAAGGCCAGGGCCUGACUCAGCCCUUACAACCUCUGCCCAAGUCUGCUUCCAAUCCACAGAAUGGGACCUGUUUUGUUAAAAGUGGCUUGAAUGUUCUGGACUCCAAGGGCCGUGGAGUUUGGGGAUUGUUUUAUUUGGAAGCUGCUUAUUUGGGGUUUUUGUAAUUGGUUAUUUCAACACAAUGGUAUGAGAGGGGUUUGGUGAUUGACUGGUGUCAUUGUGCCCCUCAUUAGAAUUUUAGAAUCAUCCUAUCCCCACUCCAAUUCAAUUAAGAAGACACCCCCAAAUUGGUGAAUCUUCUGCUCUGCCCACAUGACAUUUUUUUUUUGUCGGACCCUGGGAUAUGUUACAUUCCCCUGUUGAACUAUUGAAUCACGUUGAGGCAACAGAGACCAUUGAGGAUGGAGAGAGUGAGGAUUUUUAAUAAUCUACAGACAUCACCAAGCGACUGAAGCACUGAUCAAAGGGGAGAGCCUGGCAGAAGAGCAACCAGCCAGCCUGUGGUGAGGGAAAUAAGCACAAGAAAGCAGAAAAAUGACUACCAGUGAGGCAGCUACAAAACUAGAGCUGGCCAGACUGGAAGUGGAAGGAAGGCAGGGAGUUUCAAAUGUGGCAGGGAACUGAGGCUCAAAGAAGCAGUUGCAGCCAGGGAAACUGUGGAGGCAGAGGCAGCCAGAGAGGAGGCUGCACACGGAAGGGCUAUGGAAGAAAGAGAGAGAGAGCAAAAGCACCAGUUGGACCUGCUAGAGAAGCAGAACCAACCCCCCCAACCCCAACGACUCCUGUCACUCCAAAAAUCCACAAAUGGGAACACUUAUGUCUUGCAUACAGUGAAGAGGAUGAUGUUGCUGAAUAUCUGACUGCCUUUGAAAGGCUGUGUGUAAUACAUGAAAUUCCUGAUAAGAGCGUUCCUACCUGAUUGCCAAAUUAACUGAUGCAGCUCCAAUGCCUGUGAAAACAGAGGAGUUGGGACCAGAAAAUUGCCAGAAUACAGAUAACCCAACUGACAGAGAAGGGGGCGUUUUCCCCCAGGCUGGUGAGACACAGAGAAGACUUAUGGGAAAGCUGCUGGGAAAAGACAACCACCACCACCACCACCACCAAGCGACUGAAGCGCUGAUCAAAGGGGAG